rnacentral:rRNA from 1 species
GACGAACGCUGGCGGCGUGCUUAACACAUGCAAGUCGAACGAUGAAGCCGGAGCUUGCUCUGGUGGAUUAGUGGCGAACGGGUGAGUAACACGUGAGUAACCUGCCCUUGACUCUGGGAUAAGCGUUGGAAACGACGUCUAAUACCGGAUACGAGCUAGGACCGCAUGGUCAUUAGCUGGAAAGAAUUUCGGUCAAGGAUGGACUCGCGGCCUAUCAGCUAGUUGGUGAGGUAAUGGCUCACCAAGGCGACGACGGGUAGCCGGCCUGAGAGGGUGACCGGCCACACUGGGACUGAGACACGGCCCAGACUCCUACGGGAGGCAGCAGUGGGGAAUAUUGCACAAUGGGCGCAAGCCUGAUGCAGCAACGCCGCGUGAGGGACGACGGCCUUCGGGUUGUAAACCUCUUUUAGCAGGGAAGAAGCGCAAGUGACGGUACCUGCAGAAAAAGCACCGGCUAACUACGUGCCAGCAGCCGCAGUAAUAC